CCUACGGGAGGCAGCAGUGAGGAAUAUUGGUCAAUGGACGAGAGUCUGAACCAGCCAAGUAGCGUGAAGGAUGACUGCCCUAUGGGUUGUAAACUUCUUUUAUAAAGGAAUAAAACGAGGCACGUGUGCCUUUUUGCAUGUACUUUAUGAAUAAGGAUCGGCUAACUCCGUGCCAGCAGCCGCGGUAAUACGGAGGAUCCGAGCGUUAUCCGGAUUUAUUGGGUUUAAAGGGAGCGUAGAUGGGUUGUUAAGUCAGUGGUGAAAGUUUGCGGCUCAACCGGAAAAUUGCAAUUGAUACUGGCAGUCUUGAGUAUAGUUGAGGUAAGCGGAAUGCGUGGUGUAGCGGUGAAAUGCUUAGAUAUCACGAAGAACCCCGAUUGCGAAGGCAGCUUACUAAACUGUGACUGACAUUGAGGCUCGAAAGUGUGGGGAUCAAACAGGAUUAGAUACCCCUGUAGUC
rnacentral:rRNA from 1 species